CACGUAGGGUGCGAGCGUUAAUCGGAAUUACUGGGCGUAAAGCGUGCGCAGGCGGUUUUGUAAGCCAGAUGUGAAAUCCCCGGGCUCAACCUGGGAAUGGCAUUUGGGACUGCAAGGCUGGAGUGCGGCAGAGGAGACUGGAAUUCCUGGUGUAGCAGUGAAAUGCAUAGAGAUGUGGAGGAACACCGAUGGCGAAGGCAGCCCCCUGGGUCAAGACUGACGCUCAUGCACGAAAGCGUGGGGAGCAAACAGG
rnacentral:rRNA from 1 species